AACACGCACACACAAAGAAACAAAAGCACAUAAUUAAAAAAAAUUCUGCAUUUAUUUUGGAAUUGGUGACAUCUUCUGUGCAAUGACUUUAUAAUUAACAGAAUAAGUUAGAUUUACGAUGAAAAUAACACACUUAUUUAAUUAAAGAAGAAGUAAAAAAAAAAAUAGCAGAAGAAACGUACAUGUCUCUGAAAUUAAAACAAAAACCACCAAGCAAAAAUUAUUUAUAUACAAGUCAGCGAUAAGUUAAAAGCAGAAAACUUGUUUUACUUUUCUACUACGUUUCGUCAAGUUAAUUCCGUGUUUUUAAUAAGCCCAGUUUGAUGCGCCAAUGACACCACUUCCCUGUCACAUUCACUUUCGUCGAGACGUUGCGAAAACUCUGCUAAGUUGCGGAUUGAAGGUCGCUGUAGCCUUUUUAGUGUUUCCAAAACAUUUAUCCAGCAUGGCUUGGCGAUCUAGUGGGAAUACUAAUUCGCAUCUUGUUGAAAAUCUCUAUCAAAAUGGUAUAAUCAAAUCAGAGAAAGUUCGUGACACAAUGAAAGCAGUUGAUCGUGGCGACUUCUGUCAGCGUAACCCUUAUGCUGAUUCUCCACAGAGUAUUGGAUAUGCUGUUACAAUAAGUGCACCGCAUAUGCAUGCAUAUGCAUUGGAGUUGUUAAAAAAUCACUUAGUUGAUGGAAACCGUGCUCUUGAUGUUGGCUCUGGAAGUGGAUAUCUUACUGCAUGUAUGGCAUUGAUGGUUGGGGAAACUGGUUUGGCUGUUGGAAUCGAUCAUAUAGACAAGUUGGUGCAGUCCUCAAUUGACAAUGUAAAGAAAAAACAGCGACUUGGAUUCUUACUAGAUAAGGGUCAGAUGAAAUUAGUUGUUGGUGAUGGAAGAUUAGGAUACAAACCAGAUGCUCCCUUUGAUGCUAUCCAUGUUGGAGCUGCAGCUGCAGUUUUGCCAGAUUCUUUAGUUGAACAGUUGAAACCUGGUGGACGUAUGGUAAUUCCUGUUGGAGGUCAGGGAGAGAACCAAAUGCUUCAGCAAAUUGAUAAAAAUGAAGAUGGAUCAGUAACAAAGAAAAAUCACAUGGGAGUAAUUUAUGUUCCACUGACAAGCAAAGAAAAGCAAUGGCCAAAAUAAACAUGGAGAAUAUCUGCUUCUCUAUGAUUCAAGGUGGUAUUAAUUGCUCAUAGCUGAAAUUUCUAGCACAACCAGUACGUCAACAGAGAUGAAGCAGAACUGGCAUGUGAAGUGAAUUUAAAUGAACCAUUCUUUCAGUAUAAUACUUAUUAAGAAUUGGUCUGCUGUUAAAUCUGCAGGGUAACUUAUAUAAGGAAGACAGUGAAUGAUAUGCUUGAAAAAUGUACUGUAAAAAGUAUCUGGAAUAUUGCUGUCUUUGCUAAUAGUUCUGACAAUUCACCUACCCUUCAUCUACAUUUGAGCCACUCUCCUUACAGUUGCUGUCCCAACUCGAAGUUGGCGAUAUUUUGCAAGAAGAGCUUUAGCAAUGAAAAACAAGAAUAAUGAAACGUAAACAUUAUUUGGGCCUAUGAUGAAUUAUGAAGUGAAAUACUAAGUACUUCUGGAAGCUAUCUUUUUUUUUUGUAAAUGACUUUUGCACUGCAACUACUAACAGCAGCUCCACUGUUUUACCCUGUUUCUCACCAUUGAUGAGGUUCAGAUAAUAGACAACAUAUGAGACUCUCCACUCCCUUUAUCUGCUAUUUAUAUUGUCAAUAAAUCAAUUUAUUGUUUUUUUAACAAUCGCUUUGUAAAAUUUGUUCAGAAGAAAAGAAAAAGAAACUUCAGAUCAAAAGAUUAAUUUUUUUUAUUUUCAUACAUAUUUUGAGCUCCUUUACUGAAACACUAAUUCUUUAAAUAAAUUAUUCCUAAAUGAAUAGAUGCAAUUAUUUAAGAGCUAUACCAAACAGCUCAUAACAUAAUCAAGAUAGCAGUAAACAGUUUGUUAUAUAACAAAGAUACUAAGAUAUUCGCAAUACAACUAACACAUUGGUGUCCACCAGUUACACCAAAGCAGUUCAUAAUACAACUAAAAUAACUAGGCUAAACAGUUCAUAAUAUAACCAGCUAGAUAAAU